rnacentral:snoRNA from 1 species
UAGCAAGCCUCCAGCGCUUCGGCCUGCUGUGACCCUAUGCAAUCCUACAGAGCUUGCCAGAACAGUUUUGAAAGGGCUUCAGGCCUUGCCCCGCUCCAUGCAGAUUAAGGUUGGAGAAAGUUCAGACAAUU